UCAUCAUUUUAAAGAAAGCUCAUGGAGUUGUGCAACCAAGAGCUCUUAACACCAGGACCAAAUAUUGAAAUUCUCUGUAGGAUGUUAUAACGGUAGAUAUUGUCCUGUUGUCCAGAGUAGAGGUACAAAA
rnacentral:snoRNA from 1 species